GAUCACUUGGACAAUUGAACGUACUAUCACAAAGAAUAUAACAGCCGAGUCAAGCUACUGCUCUUAAUUGAUAAUUGGUAAGUUUAGUCUUCUGUUAGAGAGCUUUUUGCAAUUCGCUAAGCCCAAUAACCUAUAUUUCUAUUGUGAUUUCAAUUGAAAUUGAAUGUUUGCUACAUUCCUCGGAUCAACGUACGGAUCACCUUGAUCAGUAAGAAGAAAAACAAUAAUUUAUUAAUUAGUUUGUUAUAUAUAGAAAUCUAUUUUUUUAGUUGAGAUUCUUGUAAUUGAAAACGAUUAUGCAA
rnacentral:lncRNA from 1 species